UUGAAUUGAAGAGUUUGAUCAUGGCUCAGAUUGAACGCUGGCGGCAGGCUUAACACAUGCAAGUCGAACGGUAGCAGGAGAAAGCUUGCUUUCUUGCUGACGAGUGGCGGACGGGUGAGUAAUGCUUGGGAAUCUGGCUUAUGG
rnacentral:rRNA from 1 species